UCUGAGCAUCGUUGAGACGAAGGCGAGUAUUGCAAGCGAUUGAGGCGGUUGAAUUGGAUGCGGUGGUGAAUAACCGGAAUCGUGGCAGUGUGUUGAACUGUGAGAUUAUGGUGUACCGGUGAGGGUGAGGGUUCGGUGAAGGGAUACGAAGGGAGAUUGAAGGUAAGGUUGAAGGUUCGGUGAAGGGAUUCUUGGAUGGAUUCGCAAUGGUUGAAGGUUUGGCGAAGGUGGAGAUUACGGUUAUGGAGGUUGUAAGAAAAUGUAGAUUGGAAAAGUUUGUUAGAGUUUGGAGGGAGGGAAGAAGAAGAAGAAUUUGGAAAAAACGAGAGAGAGCCAAGAUGACUGUGAAGCUAUGUAUUUAUACUUUGAAGCUAGGUGAGUCUUUAAUUUUCGUUUUGGUUAUGUAUCAAUUUUCUGCGAUUUGACGCUUGGCUUUGUCGUUUUCCCCUUUUGUUGUUCAUGGCUUAGCUUGGAAUGCGUUUGUUUUGCACGACUUUGCAUUUGGGACUGCGUUGAGUUGGUUUUGGUAGCUUUAGCAGCUUGCCAAUGCGGUUUGCCGGCUUGGAAGCAUUAUUGGCUUGUGUUAGCCGCUGGUUUGGCGUUUCGCUUUGUAUUUGCCGUGUAUAGGUUUGUAGCUUUGGCUCAUGCACCUUGGAUGCAUUUUUGCAUU